rnacentral:rRNA from 1 species
CUAGCCGUAAACGAUGCGGACUGGGUGUUGGGAUGGCUUCGUGCUGUUCCGGUGCCGAAGGGAAGCUGUUAAGUCCGCCGCCUGGGAAGUACGGUCGCAAGACUGAAACUUAAAGGAAUU